GCACCACUGCACUGCAGCCUGGGCAAUAGAGCAAGACCCUGUCUCAAAAAAAAAAAAAAUCUGUAUCCAUUGACAUCAACAGAGCCCCAUAAUCCAUUAAGUUUUAAAAAAGAUUACAAAAGAUUGUGUAGAGUAUGCUUCAUUUGUGUUGAAUUGUAUACCUAAGUGUGUACUCCCAGGAAGGAGUCUGGAAGAGUAGUCUCCAAAAUUUCUGGGUGUUAGGAAGUAGAUUCUGUGGAUUGUACCUUCUGUGGGUAGCCAGUGCCCAGUGACCAUCUGGGCUUGCCACAUGGCCCCAGUUCUCAUUCUGAUGGAACUGACCUGCCCUGGGAUUAGGGUGACUGGCUGUGCCCUUGCAUAGGCUCAAGGGGAUUGACUAGGGGACCACAUCAGCGUGGAUUAUUCUGGAGAUCCUGAGAAAGAUUGUGUUGCAUAGCAAAGCUCUCUAAAACUUACAUGGUGUAAAACAAUAACCAUUUUACAACCAAUUCUGUUGUCGGGAGUUUGGAAAAGGCACAACUGGAAUGCCUUAUCUCUGCACCUUGAUAUCCAGGGCCUUAGCUGGGAAGUUACAACUUCCAGCUACAAAUGACUUGACCAGGAAUCAGCUGGAGAGCUCUUCAUACCUGGAGUCACUGGAAGGCUGGGCUUAGCUGGAGCUGUCGACCGGAGAACCUACACAUGGGCUGCAUAUAGCUUGGACUUCUGACAGCUUGGGAUCCAGUUCCCAGGGGCGGUGUCUUUAAGAGGGAAGACUCUGGAGAGUAUUUCAAGAGACCAAAGCAAAAGCAGAGAAUGAGGAACCACUGGAGGGAUCCAAACAGAAGUUUGUGAUCAGAUUUGAGUUGGGAAGGUCAUCCUGAUGGCAGUGCAGACAGAGGAUGAGAGAGACCCGAGACCAGGUAGGUGGCCGCUGCAAUAGACUGAGCAGUCAGUACUGAGCCCUGCAUUGCCGUGCAUCCUUACAGCCACUCCGUCUUAAGCCCCAUCGGGGAGCAGCCAUUCUCUCCUGCCUCUGCCCAGUGCCUGUGCUUGAGGAGAGAGGUCAUUCUGGUCUUCUCCAGAGCCAUGCUCUGACCUUGGUCAGAGACCUCGUCCUGCCAGAGCCCCAUUUAUUGAUCUGGCUUCUCCACUACACCCAGGUCAUGGUUCUAUUUAAGGUGUGUGGGAAGUAGGAGCUGUCUCUCUCUACCCUCAUUUAAUCAACCUGACUGAGGAAUCGCCAGACUGGAAGCAAGUCUUCAACUAUUAACAGCUGAAAAUAAAACAAGAACAGCCACAUGGAUGACAAGACAGUAUCAACACUUUGCAUGGAUUGUCCAAUUUACUACUCUCGGCAACCCCGUGAGGUGGAUGCCAUUGCCUUGCCCAUUUCACAGAUGAGAAAAUGGAGUCUCUGAGUCGUUCAUGCAGUGGCUGCUCACUUUAGGGCCUCCAGGGCAUAUCUGGCCUCCAGUAAGCCAUGGCCUAAAGAGUCCACACCACAGGCUCAUGAGGUCCUUGGUCUCUACAGCGUGGAAUGCAGUGGCCACUUUCUACUGCUGCCUAUUUGUCCAAGCUUGACAAGAGCGUCCCCUCCUGUAGUGAUCCCAAUACCCCCAUCCUUGUCGCCACUCCAGGUUUCCCCACUCCCUGCCCUCCUCUGCCCUAGCAUGCACCCAGCUGGCUGCUGUGCCACGGUUUGCUUGCCCGUCCUAGAGGGUGAGCUCCCCAAGGACACGCAGACAGAUCUCACUCGCCCUGUGGUUCCACGCCAGCAGAGAGGCUCUCACUGAAGGCGUCAGAUGUUGAAGUUUGAGGGGGACGCCUUGCUGCCCUCACUGCUUUGGGGCCUUCCAGCUUUCCAGAGGGAUGGGCUGCCUCCCCAUCCUCCCUCCGAAACCUGCAUGGGGGACUGAGAGGGGCUUUCCCAAGCAGUGUGUCCUCGCAACGUUAAGAUCACGUCCCUACCUUCUGUCUUUUCUUUUUCAAAUAAGUGUCCAAAUUCAAAGGCUGUGAUAAGCUUUUGCUAAAGAAAGGCUGUAAACCAGCUCAGACUCACAUACCAGGGUGUCCAGCCCAUGACCCACCAGGAGAAAAGAAGGAGAUUGAAGGAGGGAAAGGGACAGAGAUGGUCACCAAGCUGAAGGCAGAUGAAGAAGUGAGAGGGAGAAAAGUGCCUUCUUGCUGGGAGCCUCCCUUGUGUCUGGAAUGAUCAGAGAUGGGGGAGAAACAGUACAGCCUUCAGCAGAUGAAAUUGAGCGGUUGUGUUGUGAGGCGGGCUCUGGUACUUAAAUGCAAUAGCUGAUCUAAUCACUAGUCUCGUUCUCUGGGAAGCUUUUUGCUGCAUUUUAGCACAGAAAAGUGUUGUCUUUCUUUUGUGUCUCGAGCUGCUAUUUAAGAAAGCAAAAAAAAAA